GUUACAGUGAAAGAAGAAGAGAAAGACGUUUCAGUGAAAGAAGAGAAAGAUGCGUUCAGAGUGAAAGAGGAGGAGGAUGUUACAGUAAAAGAAGAGGAGUAUUCAGUUUGUGUAGUGUAAGAGAGGGAGAUGACUGUCACAUCGAAAAUGGAGGAGGAAGAAGAGGAGGGAACUGAAUACCUGGGCCCGGUUUCCAAAGGGCAUCUUAAGACAUCCAAUGGUUCUAACGGUGAACUUAGCCAUAAGAUGGUUUUGAGAAACCGUUCCAUGAUUGACACUACUUUCCUCUCCUCCAAAGACCCAGUGAGGGUGGAGCUCAGAGUACUAGGGACUGGUUAGGAAGAACACUUCUACAGCCAGAGAGGGGCAGUCAAGAAAUGAAACGGCAAGGCCACAGAACAUGACAUAAGCAGAGCUGUGGGAGACCACCUCAAGCCCUUGGUAGAGCCUGGGGUGGUGUUUACCACUCCACCACACCUUCAGCAGGCUUGAAAAUGAUACUGUUUUUCAUACUAAGAGGGACCAAGAGUCUGUUGAUUGGUCAGUCAUUGGGUUCAUUUGUUGAAAUCAAAUCAAGCUUAAUUUAUACAGCACAUUUCAGACAUGGAUUCAAAUAAAAAAUGAAAAUAAACAGAAAUAUUUAGUACAUAACAAACAGAAGACUAACAACUGAAAGACUAAUGAACAUUCUAAGGAAUUUCCAUUGCUUAAAAUAUUGAUUGGAUGCAAUCUCCAACCCAAAAUAUAAGCUUGUUUUUUAGGAGGGGCUCUGAAAGACGCUAUGGGUGUGUCCACUGGAAGUUGACUCGUAACAAACACUGGGACAUAAAAGACACCCACCAUGAGACCCACUAAAUCUGCCCAAGAAGAGAUCUUUCACAAUCUGCCCAUCUUUCACAUGUGGAUUGUACAUGGUUACGGUGACCACCCUGAAGUUGUUCUUCGCCAGGCUGGUCACCGCAUAAUGGCACAGGGGUCCCGUUUUCUCCGCUUCCUUUGCCAUCUUCAAUACAUCAUCAUGUUUCUCCUCUUUGUGAAACGUCACAUCGAAAGCCUUCUCAUUUGGGUUCCCUUGAAGGCAGAGUAUUUCCUUCACCUCUAUCCUGAGGCAUCCCAUCAAUAUAGUCCUUCCAAAAGUUUCCCUGCCCCAAGGUUCCAUCUCCUUUUCAGUCCAUGAAAAUCUUACGGUAUUUGCUAUACCAAUCCCCGGAACCGACCAGGUUUGCUUGUUUGUAUUCAUUUUUCUU